ensembl:lncRNA
GAGCGAGGCCUCCCUCUGCGUUCACGCUGCCAUGUUGUACGCGGCAGGUCAGACACCGGUUGAGCGGUGGUAACUGGCUCUUGUUUUGCGCGAGGAUUUGGCAGCUGCACGCGAUCUUCCUUCUCAUUUCCUUGAAUCAAAAAAGAAAAGGUUUACUAGCGAUUGUGAGCGAUUGUAAAGUAUAAAACUUUAUCUCUACAAUCUCCCCUGGAGUCCGAGGUGAACUUUGACAGCGAUGGAGAAUUUUCACCACCCGAUGAAUCAAUAGUUGAGCCUUGAAAUACACCCUGCAGGGAUAAUGCAAUAUGUUCAUUUUCAAGUGUUGAGAUGACAAACAGUCGCGUUGCAUGAAGCUAUAAAAGCGUAAGUAAAUUAGGCGAACGAAGAAAAGCAAGCGUAGAACUUGGGGUGCGCCUCCUCCCACCAGGAUGUCACUAGUAUACCGAUAACCUCGUCACAGCGAUGAAUUCGUGCUGGUAAGGAAAAGGAUGACAUCCUCAUUCCAACAGAUGCCCAGGACAGAUAUCAGGUUCUAACUGACACUCAUCGCGUCAACUGCUGGGAAAUCAGGCGCUCUUGCUUCCCGGACUGGAAUGUGAAUUUGGUUACUGACGCAGUCGCAGCGAGGCGCCGCUCCGGUUGCGUUUGUUUGUGCUCGAGGAGACGGACGUGGGCACGAAAGAUGCAAACUGCUGAACCGAUAGAUGAACCUUGCUUUCUCAGAGAUUGUCACAUGAAAAUUUAUUAUUUCUAAAGGCUGAGUCAUGCACACUUGACACGAUGAUUGAUGACCAUGUCAUGGCGCCUCCUGGAAGCCUGAGGCACAGAUACCUCGGAAAACUGAACGCACAAUUAAUAAUUUUGUGGAACCGGAAAAUGCGACACUGUCAUUAUACCUAAUUAUCUAAUUGGACAUAAUUUUUUACGACAUUGUGAUCUUGUAGGCAUGACUACCGGUUGUCUGAGCUCAGUAAAUUCUUCUCAGGGACUUAAAAAGUAAGGCAAUUAAAGAAAAACAAACAAGGCAAAUCUCUUGUUUUGAUGAUAACAAAAUAGCAACGUUAUCUCAUGGAGGUUUCUGGGUGAACUAUAAAAUAUUUGCGGUUUGCUAAACAGGUUCACACUGCCAAAAAAAAGUCUUGUUCUUCAGUUGCGUCAUUUGAAGCGAUAAAGAGCAGGUAAAAAAAACAAAUAAAAGAACGUCGCUAGCAGCAAUUAGCUCGUAAAGUUGUGACUCACUCCCUUUGUUUGUGGCUUUAGUUAAAUAAAAUUCUUCAAUACUUG